rnacentral:rRNA from 1 species
GAUCCUGACUCAGGAUGAACGCUAGCUACAGGCUUAACACAUGCAAGUCGAGGGGCAGCAUGACCUAGCAAUAGGUUGAUGGCGACCGGCGCACGGGUGAGUAACACGUAUCCAACCUACCGGUUAUUCCGGGAUAGCCUUUCGAAAGAAAGAUUAAUACCGGAUAGUAUAACGAGAAGGCAUCUUUUUGUUAUUAAAGAAUUUCGAUAACCGAUGGGGAUGCGUUCCAUUAGUUUGUUGGCGGGGUAACGGCCCACAAG